CGUUCAGGCGGUGGGCUAAGUCAGGCAUGAAAUCUCUCGGCUCAACCGGGAGAGGCUGUCUGAGACUGGCACACUUGAGGGCAGUCGAGGGUGGUGGAAUUCCGGGUGUAGUGGUGAAAUGCGUAGAGAUCCGGAGGAACACCAGUGGCGAAAGCGGCCACCUGGGCUGUACCUGACGCUGACACGCGAAAGCUAGGGGAGCGAACGGGAUUAGAAACCCCGGUAGUCCUAGCCGUAAACGAUGUUGACCAGGUGUCGGCGGUCUAAACCCCGUCGGUGCCGGCGCAAACGCACGAAGUCAACCGCCUGGGGACUACGGCCGCAAGGUUAAA
rnacentral:rRNA from 1 species